GGUACCAGAAGAAGACUGACGCUCGAGCACGACGGCAACCUCAGAAUGCACAGCCUGGACGCGUCGAGUGGAAGAUGGGUGGUCACAUGGCAAGCCAUACUGCAGAUGCACUAUGUGCAUGGCCUAUGUGGGAAGAAGGGGUUCUUCGAGUACUCGCCGAGACUCCGCUGCUCGUGUCCUCCUGGAUUCGAGAUGGUUAAUCCAAACGUGUGGAGCAAAGGCUGCAGGCCGACGUUCAGCUACAACUGUGGUCAAGACAGGUACAGCUUCAUCCAGAUCCCUCAAACCGAUUUCUACGACUUUGAUCUUGGCGUCAACGACUCCAUCUCGUUUGAAGAGUGUAGAAACAUCUGCUUGGGCAUGUGCUCUUGCAUCGCUUUCUCUUACCGGCUGACCGGAACCGGCGUUUGUUACCCUAAAGGCCUGCUGUUCAAUGGCUACAAGUCGCCUGCAUUCCCAGGAAGUGUCUAUCUUGAAGUGCCCCUCACUGCUGACAUUCAGAUUCAGGUCUCUGAAUCACCACAAUCAGCUCUCACAUGCUCCCAUGUUGGUCCCAAGACUAGGCAUGAACCUUCAGAUCACAUGGACAGAUGGCUAUAUUUCUAUUUAUGUCCUGGAUUGUUAGGAGCCCUGGAGCUCAUUCUCAUCUUGACGACAUGGUGGUUCCUUUCCAGGAAGAAUGGCAAUGUGCAAGAUUCAACACAGGGAGGUUAUGCGGUGUUAAGAAAUCAGUUCAGGAGAUUUACUUACCAAGAGCUACAGCAAGCAACUGGAAGGUUCAGAGAAGAAGUUGGAAGAGGUGGCUCUGGGAUUGUGUACAGAGGAUUGCUAAAAGAUAAGAGGGUCAUCGCGGUGAAGAAUCUCAUGGAUGUCACCAAACACGAAGAGGAAUUCUGGGCAGACACGAAUGUGAUCGGGAGGAUCAAUCACAUGAACCUGGUUCGCACAUGGGGAUUCUGCUCACAAGGCAAACACAGGCUGCUGGUAUAUGAAUUUGUGGAGAAUGAGUCACUGGACAGGCACCUGUUCAGCGCGGAAAGAUUGCUCACGUGGAGCGAGCGUUUCCAUAUCGCCUUGGGAUCGGCGAGGGCCCUGGCUUAUCUCCACCACGAGUGCCUUGAGUGGGUUCUACACUGUGACGUGAAGCCUGAGAACAUACUCUUGACCCGAGAUUUUGAAGCCAAGAUAGCAGACUUUGGGUUAGCAAAGCUGUAUAAAAGAGAUGGAUCCAGUUUCAACUUCUCACAUAUGCGAGGAACAGCCGGUUAUAUGGCCCCGGAAUGGGCGAUGAAUCUGCCAAUCAAUGCCAAGGUCGACGUCUAUAGCUUCGGAGUGGUGCUCCUAGAACUGGUGGCUGGGAGGAGGAUUUCCAGCUGCACAAAGGAUGACAAAGUUAUCAAACUGAAACAAUUUGUCCGGGGUGUGAAGGAAGCUUUAGUUACCGGGGAUGCUGCGAGUAUAGUGGAUGCGAAGCUUCAUAGGCAGUUCCACACCGAUCAGGCGAUAAUUAUGAUGACGGCUGCUGUAUCGUGCCUCGCAGAAGAAAGAAGCAAGAGACCAACCAUGAAUGAAGUUGUAAAAUCUCUCUUGCAUUGCGAGGGAUGA
rnacentral:rRNA from 1 species